UACGUAGGGGGCAAGCGUUGUCCGGAUUUACUGGGUGUAAAGGGCGCGCAGGCGGAUUAACAAGUCAGAGGUGAAAUACUACAGCUUAACUGUAGAACUGCCUUUGAAACUGUCAAUCUUGAGUACGGAAGAGAGAAGCGGAAUUCCAGGUGUAGUGGUGAAAUACGUAGAUAUCUGGAAGAACACCAGUUGCGAAGGCGGCUUCUUGGUCCGUUACUGACGCUGAGGCGCGAAAGCGUGGGGAG
rnacentral:rRNA from 1 species